rnacentral:lncRNA from 1 species
AUGCAUAAAUUUGAUCUUAUGUCUUGGUAACCACUUGGUGAUUUUUUCUUGCUACUAUGUUCUCUGCAGAUGAAAUCCACCUCUCUCCACCCCAUUGUCCUGUUACAAUAAGCAGUGAACUUCCAUUUCAAUAAGCUAUGUGAAGAUUGAGGAAAAAGAACGGGGGAUACUUCUUUCUUACUAAGUGAUCAUGGCCAGAUACAAAGAGGAAAUGGAUCUCAUUUUUUGCAGAAGUGAACCAGAAGACACUAUCCUGAAAAAGAAAGGUUUUUAAAGCUGUUCUAGCUCCAUCACAUCGAACUGGUGCUUGCUUCCCACUUCUGCUCAGUAACCUACUGAAGGCAACCUACAAGACAUUGUGGAGGUCAAGGCCACCCCU